rnacentral:rRNA from 1 species
GAUGAACGCUGGCGGCGUGCCUAAUACAUGCAAGUCGAACGACCAGAUAAUGAGCUUGCUCCCUUGCCGGUAGCGGCUGACGGGUGAGUAAGGCGUGGGUCACCUACCUCUAAUACUUGGAGAACUUCGGGAAACCGGAGACACUACCGGAUAAUAUUUCGUACCGCAUGGAUCAAUAGAGCAAGAUAGCUUUGCUAUCACUUAUAGAUGAUCCCGUGCCGUAUUAGCUAGUUGGUAAGGUAACGGCUUACCAAGGCUACGAUCCGUAGCUGACCUGAGAGGAUGAUCAGCCACACUGGAACUGAGACACGGUCCAGACUCCUACGGGAGGCAGCAGUAGGGAAUAUUCGACAAUGGGCGAAAGCCUGACGGAGCAACGCCGCGUGAGUGAUGAAGGUCUUCGGAUCGUAAAACCCUUUUAUUAGGGAAGAACAUACGUGUAAGUAAAUGUGCACGUCUUGACGGUACCUAAUGAGAAAGCCACGGCUAACUACGUG